UUAAUGAAUGGGACAAAAUCAAAUUUGCAUAGAAGCAUCUACGGUUGGCUAUCCAAACUCCUGUGGUAAUAAGUGUUUGACACAACCAUUCAACAGACCAAGUCUUUAUUUCUAUUAUGGUCUAAACGUAAUGGCAUUGGAUGUUAUUGUGUUUUGAAGAACAAUAAGUAUUACUGUUUUUAACCUGUCCUGUCAUUUGUGGAUAUAGUGGGAAGCCUAUUGAAUGGGACAAAGUAUUGAUUAUUGAAUGGGACUUGUCCAAACAGCCUGAUAUGAAAA